rnacentral:rRNA from 1 species
UACGAAGGGGGCUAGCGUUGUUCGGAAUUACUGGGCGUAAAGCGCACGUAGGCGGAUAUUUAAGUCAGGGGUGAAAUCCCGGGGCUCAACCCCGGAACUGCCUUUGAUACUGGGUAUCUCGAGUCCGAGAGAGGUGAGUGGAAUUCCGAGUGUAGAGGUGAAAUUCGUAGAUAUUCGGAGGAACACCAGUGGCGAAGGCGGCUCACUGGCUCGGUACUGACGCUGAGACACGAAAGCGUGGGGAGCAAACAGGG